rnacentral:rRNA from 1 species
AUUGAACGCUGGCGGUAUGCUUAACACAUGCAAGUCGAACGAUGAGAAAGAGCUUGCUCUUUCGAUUAGUGGCGGACGGGUGCGUAACGCGUAGGAAUCUACCUAUUAGUGGGGGACAACUUAGGGAAACUUAAGCUAAUACCGCAUACGCCCUACGGGGGAAAGAAGGGGAUCGCAAGACCUUUUGCUAAUAGAUGAGCCUGCGUAGGAUUAGCUAGUUGGUGGGGUAAAAGCUCACCAAGGCGACGAUCCUUAUCUGGUUUGAGAGAAUGAUCAGUCACACGGGAACUGAGACACGGUCCAGACUCCUACGGGAGGCAGCAGUGGGGAAUAUUGGACAAUGGGCGAAAGCCUGAUCCAGCAAUACCGCGUGUGUGAAGAAGGCCUUAGGGUUGUAAAGCACUUUCAAUUGGAAGGAAAACCUCGAAGCUAAUACCUUCGAGUUUGACAUUACCUUUAGAAGAAGCACCGGCUAACUCCGUGCCAGCCGCCGCAGUAAAAC